rnacentral:rRNA from 1 species
AUUCCUACGGGAGGCAGCAGUGAGGAAUUUUGCGCAAUGGGGGAAACCCUGACGCAGCGACGCCGCGUGGAGGAUGAAGGCCUUCGGGUCGUAAACUCCUGUCAGAGGUGAAGAAUGCCCGCAAGGGUUUGACGGUAACCUCAGAGGAAGCCCCGGCUAACUACGUGCCAGCAGCCGCGGUAAUACGUAGGGGGCAAACGUUACUCGGAAUUACUGGGCGUAAAGGGUGCGUAGGCGGCUGGGAAAGUCAAGGAUGAAAUCCCGUGGCUCAACUGCGGAACGGUCCUUGAAACUACUCGGCUUGAGGAUAACCGAAGAGAACGGAAUUCCCGGUGGAGCGGUGAAAUGCGUAGAUAUCGGGAGGAACACCUGAGGCGAAAGCGGUUCUCUAGACUACUCCUGACGCUGAGGCACGAAAGCUAGGGGAGCAAACGGGAUUAGAUACCCCGGUAGUCCUAGCCAUCAACUAUGGAUACUGGAUAUUCCUGCACUCAUGUGGGAGUGUCGAAGCCAACGCGUUAAGUAUCCCGCCUGGGGAGUACGGUCGCAAGAUUGAAACUCAAAUGAAUUGACGGAAU